rnacentral:rRNA from 1 species
GAUGAACGCUGGCGGCGUGCCUAAUACAUGCCAGUCGAGCGAACAGAUGAGGAGCUUGCUCCUCUGACGUUAGCGGCGGACGGGUGAGUAACACGUGGAUAACCUACCUAUAAGACUGGGAUAACUUCGGGAAACCGGAGCUAAUACCGGAUAAUAUAUUGAACCGCAUGGUUCAAUAGUGAAAGACGGUUUUGCUGUCACUUAUAGAUGGAUCCGCGCCGCAUUAGCUAGUUGGUAAGGUAACGGCUUACCAAGGCAACGAUGCGUAGCCGACCUGAGAGGGUGAUCGGCCACACUGGAACUGAGACACGGUCCAGACUCCUACGGGAGGCAGCAGUAGGGAAUCUUCCGCAAUGGGCGAAAGCCUGACGGAGCAACGCCGCGUGAGUGAUGAAGGUCUUCGGAUCGUAAAACUCUGUUAUUAGGGAAGAACGAAUGUGUAAGUAACUAUGCACGUCUUGACGGUACCUAAUCAGAAAGCCACGGCUAACUACGUG